rnacentral:rRNA from 1 species
UAUCCGGAUUUACUGGGUGUAAAGGGAGCGUAGACGGUUUUGCAAGUCUGAAGUGAAAGCCCGGGGCUUAACCCCGGGACUGCUUUGGAAACUGUAGAACUAGAGUGCAGGAGAGGUAAGUGGAAUCCCUAGUGUAGCGGUGAAAUGCGUAGAUAUUAGGAGGAACACCAGUGGCGAAGGCGGCUUACUGGACUGUAACUGACGUUGAGGCUCGAAAGCGUGGGGAGCAAACAGGAUUAGAUACCCUGGUAGUCCA